AUCAGAGACAAAGACAAAAGGUUAGGCACAUUUUAUCUUUUGUAUGGGAUUUUCUUGAAAAAUAUUAGAUAUUUGAAGGGAAUCUUUUUUAAUGUGUGUCUUUUGGUGUCUAUAAAGAUCUAAACGCUUCCUUGUCUGUUUUAUCUGCAGAUUAUCUGAAAACGUUUUUUUUUAGUUUCUGAGAGAGAAAGACAGACAGAUUGAGAAGAUGUUGGAAGGAAAAGCAAUGGUUGAAGAUUCAGAUAUGCCAGUGAAGAUGCUGAAAGUUACACAGAGACUGACGAAGAAGAUAGCUUUUAUUUUAUUAAUGCUUUUCAACUUAGGAAAACAA
rnacentral:lncRNA from 1 species